rnacentral:rRNA from 1 species
GACGGAGGAUGCAAGCGUUAUCCGGAAUGAUUGGGCGUAAAGCGUCCGCAGGUGGCGGUUCAAGUCGGCGGUCAAAGACCGAAGCUCAACUUUGGAAAGGCCGUGGAAACUGAACAGCUAGAGUGCGGUAGGGGCAGAGGGAAUUCCCGGUGUAGCGGUGAAAUGCGUAGAUAUCGGGAAGAACACCGGUGGCGAAAGCGCUCUGCUGGGCCGCAACUGACACUCAGGGACGAAAGCUAGGGGAGCGAAUGGGAUUAGAAACCUGGUAGUCC